GAAAAACUGUGUUGCUACUAGCCAAGAAGGAGCAAUUGUCAAGCCACUCAUCUGAGAUGCAUCUUCCAGGAGCUUCCCAGGAGGCACAACUGCUGGAAUGUCUGGCUUUGCUGGAGGAAUUGGUGGUGGUACACCUGGAUACAGGUAAUAUCGGUAUGGAUGUCAUCCUGAAUGUAGAGCACUUGGCCACUACAUGACAGCAUUUGGUGACCCUGAGGCCAUGGAGGCUCUUCAAGACGGGAAACUAGAAGGCCCACUUCUAAUCUUAAAGUGACUCGUUUCUCUUUCAAAUUAGGUUGUUGAUGCCAAGGGUGUGUUGGGCGGUCAAGGCCAAGGGAACAUGCUGCAAGACGUAAAUGAUCACCUACAGCAAUAACAACUGUGGUCUCAACCACAAAUCCCCAUUGUUGAGCCCUGCUCCACCUGGAGCUGCUGUCGGCGUCUUCUAAUG